rnacentral:lncRNA from 1 species
UGGCCGACCCCCAGUCGGCUAAUCCUUCAUCAGGCAUUCUUUUAGUCUCACAGCCAACUCAUGAUUGGCCAACUACUACUUUCUGAGCGUCACGAUGUAAAAUCAAUGGCCUACUUAGUGAUAGCUGGUGCGCGACAGUCCCACCCCCGAUGGUUCGAUACGCCACAAACUCCAGCCACCCUGACGUCAGAUAGAAAUCCAUACCAAUGGGGGGCAGUAAUCU